CAACUGAGCCCGGAGGAAACUGGAGGUCCCCUGGCUGUCCGGCUGUCCGGGAUGUAGGACCCCCUCCGGCUCUGCAAGGCUGUACCAAGCGAGUGGUGGCCUUUGACCUUUGACCCUUCCGUAGCACGACAGCUUCCAUCAAGCGCAACUUGAAGAGUAAACAACCCUCCAGGCGGAAGUCCCUUCUCCGUGUUUCCUUAUCCUGCUCUGUCCUGGCAAGGCUGACUUCAGAGGGAUUACCUAGAGCUCCCUUACCCUCUGACUGCUGGCUGAGUCAAGAUACUUGGGAAGAUAAUUUACAAGAUCACUGUAAGGAGAUCAGAGGGCACCAAGAAAGAAAGGUUAAUCAUUCAACAAGCUCUGUUUAUGAAGUUGAUAAAUGGCAGCAAGGAAAAGAUCUGGAAUCUUCACUUUGCAGGAAUUAACUUGAACUUGUCCCAUAAAUGGCUUU